rnacentral:rRNA from 1 species
CGCGUAGGCGGCCUGGUAAGUCGGGGGUGAAACGCUGCGGCUCAACCGCAGCACUGCCUUCGAGACUGUCAGGCUUGAGCACGGUAGAGGCUGGUGGAAUUCCCGGUGUAGCGGUGGAAUGCGUAGAGAUCGGGAAGAACAUCGGUGGCGAAGGCGGCCAGCUGGGCCGUUGCUGACGCUGAGGCGCGACAGCGUGGGGAGCAAACAGGAUUAGAUACCCUGGUAGUCCACGCCGUAAACGAUGGGUACUAGGCGUCGGGGGGAGCGACCCUCUCGGUGCCGUCGCUAACGCAGUAAGUACCCCGCCUGGGGAGUACGGUCGCAAGACUGAA